UUCAGAGAUGAGGACUGCAUGAACGAC
rnacentral:sRNA from 1 species